rnacentral:lncRNA from 1 species
ACCGUGUGCUGUGAUGUUUAACUAUCAAUAUGUCAGUUACACAUUUGACACUUCAGAGGCUCCCGCAUGCCUGCUCGCACGUGCAGACCAGUCUUGUACGCUUCUGUUUUUUUUUUUUUUCAUAUUGCUGAGAAUAGUUGUUUUAAAUAUUCUUUCUAGGGUAUUUUAAUUCGCUAUUCAAUAAUAUGCUCCAGAUAAGGUAAGGAUCAGGUUAUGAACAAACCUAUCUGAAGCAAUCAGGGACACUAACCACUUAUAUCAAGACUCUCAGAUUCUCUGACUCCAUAAAGUACAUCUUCCCUCAUGCUCCCUUCUGAGGGACUUCUGCAUGGGAGGAUAGGAACUCAUGCUGAUGACCUGUUUUUGUGUUUGAGUAAUAGCAUUAUUAACAUGAAAUUCUGUGUGUGUGUGUGUGUCCCUGUCCCUGCAUGCAUGUGUGCUAUGGAUCAAACCUGAAACCUUGUGCAUGCUAGCCAAGUACUGUGUUAGUACACUAUGUUCUCAGCUCCAAAUUUAUACCUUCGAAGAAUAUAACUUACUGAUUUUGGUAUAUUCAGAGUUGCCAGCUAUGAUCACUGUCCAAUUUCAGACUAUUGUAUCAUCCCCAAAGACGCUCUCUCAGCAGCAGGCAGUUCCCCUCCUCUGACCCAAACCCCAGGAAACACCAUUUCCAUCUUGUGCAUUUGCCUAAUGGACAUUCAUAAAGUUGGUAGGUUCACCUUGUCGCUCUUAGCAUAAUGGUUCUGUCUUGCAUUUCUGGUCUUUUCCUGCCUCCCUCUGCUUCCUCCCUACCAUGCGGUGAGCAGUUUUGCCCAUCCCCCCAUUCUCCCGUGAUGCCCUGUCUCACACCAUGGGACCAGUGACCAUCGACUGAAACCAUGGGCAGAACACAUCUUUUCUCCUUUAACUCUGUUGCCCAGGUAUCUGUCAUCGAGGUGAACGUGAAUACAGCCCUGCUUUAAAACUGCGAUCU